rnacentral:lncRNA from 1 species
CCGCCGUAGACUUGAGGGUUAGGUUGUGGUUGAGCUGGUAGCUUACCCUUCUCUUGAGAACUUAAAGCAGUGGUCAACAUUGUCAGUUGAUUUCUUAUUUCAUCAUUGAUUUUGGCUUGACCUUGCAUGAAAGAUUACAAAGUUUCUUCGAGACUGAGUUUUUGAGGGGGUGUGUGUGCAUAAUGAGGUUGCGGAGGUGGAGGAGUUGGGUUAUAUACUUGUUGAGGUUGGUCAUUCCUCCACCUAAAAUUUGGAUGGUUCUUCCAUCCAGGGUUGUAAGUACCCGAAAAAGGAUUAUUAAA